GCCUGCGACCAUACCACGUAGAGUGCUCCCGAUCCUGUUCGGUGUCGGAAGAUAAGCUGCGUCGGGUCCGGUUAGUACUUACAAGGGAUCGAAACGGUAGCCGACA
rnacentral:rRNA from 1 species